GGUCAACCUUGAAGCACAUCACGCUUUUUCGCUGAUAUCGUGCGGAUUGGCAGUUCUCUUCCCUGGCAGCCACGUCCUACCAAGAGCGGGAAAGAGUAGUCUGCGGAUCCAGCCUGCCCGGACAAUCUGAAGUUGUUUGACAAGAGAACCAGUUCGUUACGGAGUUUGACUACGUGGUGACACCGGUCGGCAGCUGUUGUCGUCGUCCGUCUGCCGACUGUAAUCGCGGGCAACCAACUUCUAAUUUAUUUCCGGGUUUAAUGAGUUUCUUUUCUGUUCAUGAGCAGAAAAUGGAAAAGUCGAAGAGGUUUUCUUCGAAAACUGCGUGCUCUAGGGUUUGAACAAAUUGCACAUGAUUAACGUUUGUAAUUUGUGACAACUUGUUUAGGUAACCUAAUAAAAAAAACGCUAUUCAACCUUUUUUGGGGCGACUUCUUAUAUUUUAUUUUAGCUAUUCAAAACUUUCAGAAGACUUUAAAAAUGUAUCAGUUAGAUCAGUGAUCCUCAGCCUUGUUUUUACAACCAGUUUUUUUAUAGCAGAUAAUUCUCUUAGUAAUUUAGUUAGAUUUCAUCAUAUUAUUCAAUUCUUACCAGCUCUGAUCGAUCACGGAGUAGCAUCUAAUGAAAUGUACAAUCAGUCUAUGCUAUGAUGUAGCAUAUAUGCUACGCUUUUUUGCUAUGAUUACAAACGAUCUGUUAAGCGAUUACUAUUUGAUAAAGUUUUGAGGAGUUCGUUACACUUUUAAUGCUUGACAGCCUAGUUAUAGUAAAACUUUAAUAUGGUCUUAAAUCUUUUAGCGAAAAGCAUUUUUGCCAUAAAUUUCCAUAUAAUGUUAAAUGCUCAGAGAUAUGCAACGCCGUAUAUAUAACAAUGAGUGACAAUUUUGUUCGAAAUAUAUCCAUUUUUGUUCUAAAAACAA